GCGGGGGUACCCAAGCUAGGUCUAAGGGGCAGCGCUGAGGCCGCUGUGGCGAAGGCCUUCGUGGGUUCAAGUCCCACCCCCCGCACCA
rnacentral:tRNA from 1 species